rnacentral:rRNA from 1 species
AGGCGGAAAGCGGUGUCUUCUCUUAUCAUGCUUGUUUCUUGGGAGGUCUGGAAAGAGAGAAACUCAAGAGUUUUUCAACAAACAUGUAGGCUGCCAACUGUGGUGGUCGGAGGCAUUAAGGCAGAGGCGAAGAACUGGAUCAUCGCUGGGGCUAGGCACUUGGGUUCUUUGAUGCCGCGAGAGUAG